AUUCACUUUCAGAAUAUAUUUAAUCGAUGUAUUUUCACCUUACAUCGACUAACAUAAACAGAGUAAAGGGUUUACACCCUAUUGCAUAACCUGCCUAGAGCCAUAAUAAUUUCAACAUGGAAUUAUUAGUGUGCAUAUAUUAUGAACUUGUAAGGAUUUGCUGGCGUGUGACUUCUUGCCCAAAUACAAAUGGUGCAAAGGGAAUAGCCUACGAAGUUACUAAACACAGUUCACGAACAAUUGUCUGUGUUCUCCUUGCUGUCAUCUCCCUGUCAAUCAGAAUUUAAAGUCACCCAAUCAAAUGUACUUUCUUCAGUUCGGUUGAAUGUCAGUAGUCCAGUAAAAACGGUGAAAUUGGAUACCUAGCAAUUUUUCGUUAUUUCUUCAGCCCGUCAUUUCUCUCCACCCUUCGUCUCUCUUGCUCCCUGUGUGUCCUACCGAAAAGCCGUGAAAUUCCUGAAGGUUUACACUUUUGCUUUUAUUGUUUUGGCGCACAAAUUAGUGGAUUUUCUUGGCUACUAAAAACCGUUAUAACUUCUAGCCUACUAAUGUAACUGCGCCACUUGUAACAAACGAUCAUUUCAAUCAUAACCGCAGAACACACGUUGGAUAGUCUUGCAGUUCAACGCCCUACUCCGGUUAAAGUGAGCAAGAAAUUCAGAAUGAAAGAACCGGGGAAUGAAAAUAAGGGUGGAAAGUAAGGAGGGAGAGGAGGAAGGAGAAUAAAGGGAAACUAGGAAGAUUUUUUUGCUCAAGGAAGAGAUAGAAAGUUAUGUGGGCACAAUCAUCGUCUCCCACGGUUUGACAGGUCAAGAAGUUUCUACUCCCGGGGGAAUUUGAACUGCCCUGUCCUCCCCAGAGCAGUGUGAAAUCUACCCACCCUGGAACUCUCUCCUACUGACACAAGAGAUGGAGGGAGUAAAGGAGAGAGAGAGGGAGGGAGUAAAGGAGAGAGAGAGGGAGCGGGGAGAGGAGAAAGAGAGCGACGAGAUGGAGGAAGAGGAGAAAGAGAGCGACGAGAUGGAGGAAGAGGAGAAAGAGAGCGAGGCUGAAGAGGAAGGUGAUGAAGAGGAGGAGGAUGAAGAUGCAGAGGGAGCAGCGUUGGUGUGGCAGGAGGGCUCGUACGGAGAGGAUGACCUGGGCCUACCCAUAAUGCACUGGGAGGCGCUGAGCCUGCGCAUCGCCGAGCUAGAGAAACAGGAAGAGGAAAAGAGAGAGAAGACAAAGUCUUCCAGUGUCCUGGAACGAGGGAAGAUGCUGUCCAUGAGCUGGCCAGGAGAGAGAGAUCGAGGGAAGAGUAAAGAUUGCUGGGAGGACAGAGGAGAGGCGGAGGACUGCAAUAGCCGCGUGACAGCCCUGACCGCUCGUCUUUCAAAUCAGAUGAACCUACAGCUGUGCUUCAUCAAUGACAGCGGGAGCGAAGAAGAGGAGGAGGAUUCUGGGGUAACGAUUUGCACAAAGAAUUCCAAAAUGGUGGUAAAGAAUGCUUCCGGCGUGCAGGUGUCCCAGCAGCCCCAGUCCCCAGCUGCAACCAAAAGCAAAUCAUCAGGCUUCAAGGCUGCGCUGAGUGCACUCAAAAACAAGCUGAGAACAGAACAGAAACGGAAGAGCCUAGUGUGUGGUGAUCCACUGUUGAAGAAUAGAAAGCGAGACCAUAGUGACCUGCAGGCCUCCAGUCUCAAAGAACUCAACACUCACAGAAACUCUCUCAAUAAGGCAAUACAAGACCUGAGCACUGAGCUGGUGGUUCACCUCCAGGCUCGAGACCAGCUGAGGACGGAACAGGACGCCAUGCUGCUGGAGGUACAGGAUAUGACAUCACUCUGACCCAGUCCCAGGCAAGAUGGGGGACAGUUUGUGCUGCAGAUUUCGUACUAGAAAUUCCUCUCCGGGGUUCAAUCUCUAUGACAAGGCCCAUCACUAUAGAAUCCUUCUAAUCAUUCUAAUUCUAUGGUGAGUGUCAUCACAUAAAAUGGAAUCCUGGUGUCGGUGAUGUCACAAUUAAUCGAUGACGGAUUAGACGCCGAAAGGAUGAGUCAAAUCACUGUGAAGAGACUGCAUCACUCCUAAAGACUGUUGAAUUGAAUUGCACAGCGUUUUCGUUUUUCUUUUUAUACCCAGUGAGCAAAACUGGUUGAAAUGACAUCAUUACACCCAGUUUUACAUUCAUUAUGACAUCACGUCGACCAGUUUUGUUUUCCCUCUGUGUUUUUGUUUGUUUGUGGGAAAUCAAAUGUGUAUGUCUGGACUGUUAAUGUUUUAGUGUUUUAGGGGGAAAUAACUGGAAUAUUAUAAGGGAUGAAUAAAUUACCAUUGCUUCCCAUGGAUCGAUCUAGCUCUAAUGUCAUUGUCAUCCAAGUGUUGAAAUGUAAUGGUUGUUUGCUAGCACAUUAUUCAAAUUAUGCGUCAUAUUAUACCAAAUAAAGCUGAUUCUGAUUGCAUAAUAAUCAUCUAACCACUAGGCUACCGGGGCGGCAGGUAGACUAGUGGUUAGAGUGCA
ensembl:lncRNA